GUGCUCACUUUGGCAGCACAUAUACUAAAAUCAGAAUGAUUCAGAGAAGAUUAGCCUGGCCCCUGUGGAAGAAUGACAUGCAAAUUUGUGAUGUAUUCCACAUUAAA